GAUGAACGCUGGCGGCAUGCCUAACACAUGCAAGUCGAUCGGUAAGGCUCUUCGGAGUACACGAGAGGCGGACGGCUGAGUAACGCGUAGGAACACACCCUGCAGUGAGGGAUAAGACACCGAAAGGUGUUCUAAUACCGCAUACGGUCUUCGGAUUAAAGCAUUUAUGCGCUGAAGGAGUGGCCUGCGUCAUAUUAGAUAGUUGGUGAGGUAAUGGCUCACCAAGUCGAUGAUGUGUAGCUGGUCUGAGAGGAUGAUCAGCCAGACUGGAACUGAGACAAGGUCCAGACUCCCAAGGGAGGGAGGAGUGAAGGAUAAUUCACAAUGAACGAAAGCUUGAUGGAGCAAAGCCGCGGGCAAGAAGAAGGGCCUUGGGUUGGAAACUGGUUUUUUAAGAAGAGAAUAUGACGGUAACUUAUGAAUAAGGGACGGCUAACUACGUG
rnacentral:rRNA from 1 species